UCUUCUUCAGCACGAAACCUAUACAGACUUACAAAGAUUGUUCGACAAUCAGAAAGACUCCUCCUCAUCAUCUCCGUCAUCUUCUUUUGACUAUGAGUGGUCAGGAUGGAUGAUAUGUAUAGUUUCUUCAGGAGCACUGCUGGCGCUCUUGAUCGCGGUAGGCAUGGUACACCAAAUCUGCCAUGCCAGACAAUAUCAACUAGCUGGCCGUGGUCAUUCGAUAUCCAGGGAUUCUUUACGGCAAAGAUUAAGUGGACGAUGUCACGGAGCCCAGACGAAAUGCUGAUAAACAACAACCACGAAAAUCAUUUUACUAGUACGGUUCUACACAUUUUUUCAAUAUAAGGAUAUUGUUCUAACUGUCUUAAACGUAAAAAUAUCCAAGUAUGGUAAAUCUCCAAGGAAUUUAAUAAAAUAAAAUUGAAGAAUAAAAGCUCUUUCAAUGUA